rnacentral:rRNA from 1 species
CGCAUCUGUGCAUGCAGCAUAUCAAUAAGCGGAGGAAAAGAAACUAACAAGGAUUCCCCUAGUAACGGCGAGUGAAGCGGGAAGAGCUCAAAUUUGAAAUCUUAAAGGGUUUCCCUUUACGAGUUGUAGUUUAAAGAAGUGUUUUCUGUUGAGGUUUUGGUAAAAGUUCUUUGGAAUAGGACAUCAUAGAGGGUGAGAAUCCCGUAUUUGACCUUUACUUUCAACUUUGUGAUACACUUUCAAAGAGUCGGAUUGUUUGGGAAUGCAGUCCAAAAUGGGUGGUAAAUUUCAUCUAAAGCUAAAUAUUGGCGAGAGACCGAUAGCGAACAAGUACCGUGAGGGAAAGAUGAAAAGAACUUUGAAAAGAGAGUUAAACAGUACGUGAAAUUGUCAAAAGGGAAGCGUUUGACACCAGUGUUGUUUUUCUGAAAAUCAAUUAAAGAACUGUUUAUGCUAAGCUGUUUAGACUUUAUCAGCUAUCUGUUUAGUUUGAGCUUUUCUUUAAUACACUUUUCAGUUAACAAGUCAACAUCAAUUUCUUUUGCUGUAAAAAAGCUUGAGGAAGGUGGCUUGAGAUUCGUCUUAAGUGUUUAUAGCCUCUUGCCUAUGCAGUCGGAGAGAUUGAGGUCUGCAGCGUAGAUCCUUCGGGGCUAAAUGCAUUUGUGCUAAGUUAUAGCAUUUUAUAGACAACUUGUUGACUAUGAUUUGUCUUGUAGCUUACUCGCUUAUGUUAUUUUACCUACGCUUAGGAUGUUGAUAGUCACAGCGUGUAC